CCGCCUGUCUCGUAUCAGCUUCCACCACCAUCCCUGGCAACGCGUUCCAGAAACUCACCACCAUUGGGGUAGAAAACCUGCCUCGCACAUCUCCUUUAAACGUUGCCCCUCUCAUCCUAUAGCUGUGCUCUCUACUAUUAAAUAUUCCCCUCUCGGUAAAAGGUUCUGAUUGUGUAACCUGCCCACCCCUCUCAUAAUUCGAUAGACUUCCAUCAAACUUGUUUGAUUAUGA